rnacentral:rRNA from 1 species
AGAGUUUGAUCCUGGCUCAGAUUGAACGCUGGCGGCAGGCUUAACACAUGCAAGUCGAGCGGUAACAGGGGGUGCUUGCACCCCGCUGACGAGCGGCGGACGGGUGAGUAAUGCUUAGGAAUCUGCCCAGUAGUGGGGGACAACAGUCGGAAACGGCUGCUAAUACCGCAUACGCCCUACGGGGGAAAGCAGGGGAUCUUCGGACCUUGCGCUAUUGGAUGAGCCUAAGUCGGAUUAGCUAGUUGGUAGGGUAAAGGCCUACCAAGGCGACGAUCCGUAGCUGGUCUGAGAGGAUGAUCAGCCACAUCGGGACUGAGACACGGCCCGAACUCCUACGGGAGGCAGCAGUGGGGAAUAUUGGACAAUGGGGGCAACCCUGAUCCAGCCAUGCCGCGUGUGUGAAGAAGGCUUUCGGGUUGUAAAGCACUUUCAGCGAGGAGGAAGGCCUUAAAGUUAAUACCUUUAAGGAUUGACGUUACUCGCAGAAGAAGCACCGGCUAACUCCGUGCCAGCAGCCGCGGUAAUACGGAGGGUGCAAGCGUUAAUCGGAAUUACUGGGCGUAAAGCGCGCGUAGGUGGUUUGGUAAGCGAGAUGUGAAAGCCCCGGGCUUAACCUGGGAACGGCAUUUC